ACGAUCAAUAUUAGAGAGCAUGGCAUGGGCCAUCGCCGAAGGAGCAAGUAACUUGGAUUACGAAUCUCUCAGGCAAAAGGAUAAUAUUGUGACG
rnacentral:ncRNA from 2 species